rnacentral:rRNA from 1 species
UACGAAGGGGGCUAGCGUUGCUCGGAAUGACUGGGCGUAAAGGGCGCGUAGGCGGAUGGCACAGUCAGAUGUGAAAUUCCCGGGCUUAACCUGGGGGCUGCAUUUGAUACGUGUGAUCUAGAGUGAGGAAGAGGGUCGUGGAAUUCCCAGUGUAGAGGUGAAAUUCGUAGAUAUUGGGAAGAACACCGGUGGCGAAGGCGGCGACCUGGUCCUGACUGACGCUGAGGCGCGAAAGCGUGGGGAGCAAACAGG